CAGUUCCCAGGGAGAAGAAAAUGGGCGCUGCCAUCUUGUACGGAAGAGGGAGAAAGUUUUCCAUUCAAAGUUGAAGUCGGAUGACGAGAGUUAAGACAGAGCUAUGUGUGGGUCCACCUGAAGAAUUAAUGCUUCCUUCAGUGCUGACAAGUUGUCCAUGUCCUGAGGCACCAAAGCAUCACCAAACCAUGAUGUUUGACAGCUGCUACAAGGUUUUAUAGUGGAACACACUGUUUGAUUUCUGCCAGAUAUAACAACAUCCAUGUAGCCUGAGAAGUUCCAUUUUUGACUCUUCCAUAAAAUAUUCCUCCAGAAGUUUAGAAGGACAUUUCAAGAAAUUUGGAACAAAACCCCAUUUUCUACCCUGAGACAGAAGAAACUCUAGAUUUCAAUCACUACUAUUAUCUAACAAGGAAUGGAAUUGAAUCUGAGUGCCAGCUGUUGUUCCAGUCCAUGUUAGUUUUUCUGACACUGUUUAUCCUGAACAGCUGCAAGACUGCCAGGACUAACAUAGACGUCUCCUUGAUGGCUAAUAGUAUAUUGUAUUUUACCUGCAUAUAAGGGUGAAUCUUUUGUAGGAGUUUGUCGAGAUUCUCAUUUUAUUUUUAAUAAAAUGGCUGGUAAAAAGUGAGAUUGACAGUGAAAAUGCAAGAUUAAUCUGUCCUUACCAUAAAUAGGUUUUUCAGAGAUGUACUUCUUCAUGGGUAUAUAAUAUUGAAAUCAUGCCCCAAAUAUCUCCCAUGACCGAGUAACAGAAGUGGCCAUAAGGAAAUAAAGGAGAGGUUCUUUCCUCAACAAAGAACAUAGUGAAGCCCUUCAUGACUUUGCAAAAUGUCAGGAAAAAAAUAGGCAGUGUGUGUUGAUAUCUAUACUUGGAAAGAUGGAAACACACUUUGAGGGAUGAUUUGCUAAAGGAAUAUGAUGAAAUAUAAUGACCACAAAAUUGUCCUAAAU